rnacentral:pre_miRNA from 1 species
UUUGUACUCCCUCCAUUCCAAAUUACUCGUCGCAGAAAUGGAUGUAUCUAGAACUAAAAUACAUCUAGAUACAUCCAUACCUGCGACAAGUAAUUCAGAACGGAGGGAGUACCUG